rnacentral:rRNA from 1 species
GAUGAACGCUGGCGGCGUGCUUAACACAUGCAAGUCGAACGGAAAGGCUCCUGCUUGCAGAGGUACUCGAGUGGCGAACGGGUGAGUAACACGUGGGUGAUCUGCCCUGCACUUCGGGAUAAGCCUGGGAAACUGGGUCUAAUACCGGAUAGGACGAUGGUUUGGAUGCCAUUGUGGAAAGUUUUUCGGUGUGGGAUGAGCUCGCGGCCUAUCAGCUUGUUGGUGGGGUAAUGGCCUACCAAGGCGUCGACGGGUAGCCGGCCUGAGAGGGUGUACGGCCACAUUGGGACUGAGAUACGGCCCAGACUCCUACGGGAGGCAGCAGUGGGGAAUAUUGCACAAUGGGCGCAAGCCUGAUGCAGCGACGCCGCGUGGGGGAUGACGGCCUUCGGGUUGUAAACUCCUUUCGCUAGGGACGAAGCGCAAGUGACGGUACCUGGAGAAGAAGCACCGGCUAACUACGUG